CUCUGAUCAGCUCUACCCAGCUCCGCACUGGAAGAAAAAAGCCACAGAUUUAGCAGGGCAAUAUAGGCCAAUAUUAUUUUUGUCUCACAGGUGAUAGUUUUAAAUAUAUCUGUUUUUGUGUAAUCUGAUUUGUGAACAGGCUGAUGGGCUGCCAUGGUAACCGUUGUCCUAGAAUGCUGGAAGGAUGACAGGGAGGGGCCAGUGGUGGGCAAGUACUCUUCAAGAAUGAUCCUCCAGCUCAGCUCCAUCCUGUCGCUGUGACACAGACGGAACGGAGGAGCCGAUUGGUUCCGGGAGCUCGGCGCCGGAUGUCUGCCAAGGUCUCGCGGCCUCAGUCCACAGGCUUUCUGGUCCUUCCUCUCUGGGCAUCAGGUUUGGACCGAUUUCAGCCUUGCUCGGCCCAGAUCUUCCAUCAAUGCUGUCCCCGUUUUCUGUCUGCGUCGCUGGAGCUAUUCCCUCAGGUCGCCCAUGUGGGCCAGCCCCUCCUCCCGCACCUUCAUUCAAUAUCAGGCCAGUCACAUAUUCUGUAUCAGAGGGUUUAGACUUUACAUCUGUGGUGCGUGUUGACCUGGUAGUUUCUACAGAGCUGUCACACUCCCCAUCACAGUUGCUGUCCUGCGUGGGAGUGAAGUUUGAGAGGUGGACAGGGGUUCCACAGACACAGAGACAGGUCCCAGCCAGGAGGAGGCAAUGGAUCAGCCCAGACAUCAGCAUCUCUUUGCCUGCAGAGACGGACGUAAAAGACCAAUGAGAGGUCGUGUCGGAUCGCUGUGCCCGGAGGACGCACAGCUUCACCUGCGAUGGACACGGCUGGAGGACGAGGCUUGUUGUUGUGCCGCUCAGCGUCACUGAGUGGAAGUCUCAGUCGUCUCCGCGUUCGUCCGUCUG